CAGCAGCCGCGGUAAUACGGAGGAUCCGAGCGUUAUCCGGAUUUAUUGGGUUUAAAGGGAGCGUAGAUGGAUGUUUAAGUCAGUUGUGAAAGUUUGCGGCUCAACCGUAAAAUUGCAGUUGAUACUGGAUAUCUUGAGUGCAGUUGAGGCAGGCGGAAUUCGUGGUGUAGCGGUGAAAUGCUUAGAUAUCACGAAGAACUCCGAUUGCGAAGGCAGCCUGCUAAGCUGCAACUGACAUUGAGGCUCGAAAGUGUGGGUAUCAAACAGGAUUAGAUACCCUGGUAGUCCACACGGUAAACGAUGAAUACUCGCUGUUUGCGAUAUACAGCAAGCGGCCAAGCGAAAGCGUUAAGUAUUCCACCUGGGGAGU
rnacentral:rRNA from 1 species